CAGUCAAUGAAGGUGUCAAGGUUUUUGAUGAAACAGGAACUGAGGUGGAUGCAGAGGUCUUUGCUGACAUAGCGCAGCUUCCCAACACUGGCAUACUAACCAUCACGUUUGAUGACGAUUUGAAGGAAACUUUGUCCAGCAGUUCCCAAGAUGCAAAUUCCAGUGCACUGUCUGCUAGUAAUGACACUGUCAUCCUCGAAAUCUUGUCCUGCGCCUCAGAUGACACAGUCAUACUGGAGGAGAGUGGCAGUCCAUCCAGAAAGCGACAGAGGGAAGAUGGAGAGGCCAAACGUGUGGUUGAAUUGGUGCUAACAAGGAAACCUGGGGGCGACCGUAUCAUCAAAGAGUACCACCGCACUAAAAGUCUGACCGACUCCUCACGCCGACAAAUGGUCAACAUACUUGUGGCUGAUAUGACAGAAACGCAUGGUUUACUCUUGUCAGGACGGCCCCGCCACGGAAUGUGAGAGAGAUGUACGCUCGAGGCAUAGUUCAGCUCUUCCCGUACUUGAUGGAUCCCUUCUCUAAAAAUGGAUAUCUAAGUAUUUUAAAGGGUUUGCAAACUAAGAGCAAAUUAUAAUGUGCAUGUGCUAAUAAAAUAGUUUAGAGAACUGAUUUUAAAAAUUAAAAUAGUGCAUUUAUAUUUCCACACCAACAUCCAGUUUUACAUUAAUAAAUGUAACUUCCU
ensembl:lncRNA